rnacentral:rRNA from 1 species
UACGUAGGGCGCAAGCGUUGUCCGGAAUUAUUGGGCGUAAAGAGCUCGUAGGCGGUUUGUCGCGUCUGCUGUGAAAUCCCGAGGCUCAACCUCGGGCUUGCAGUGGGUACGGGCAGACUAGAGUGCGGUAGGGGAGACUGGAAUUCCUGGUGUAGCGGUGGAAUGCGCAGAUAUCAGGAGGAACACCGAUGGCGAAGGCAGGUCUCUGGGCCGCAACUGACGCUGGAGG